CUACAGCUAAAAUAUUGAGCCACCCCCAUGACACAGAAACACAUGAAAUUAUAAAAUUACAGACAAUCCAAUGAAAGAGGACUGGGAGAUGGUAGUCCGUCCGCCACCUUGAAGAUGGGACCCUUCACACAUCGACUCCAACGUCAAAUAGGUCCCAUGACGCAAAUGACAUUACGCCAUAAAUAAGGAAUAGGAAUCGAUUGGCUGUAUCGUGCAGGAGGGCACACCGUGAAAAUUCAUGACUUGGAGCAGAGGGCCAAACCGCUUCCCAACAACCUUCUUUUCUCGCCAAACUGCUGCUUGUAAUUAACACUCUGAAAUCCUUAACCUGGCAGUGUGACAUAUCAGCGUCUAUGGAAAUUACUCACUGAUACAAUCUAGUGUUCGACUAACAAUGAAACAAUCCA